rnacentral:rRNA from 1 species
AGUGAACGCUGGCGGUAGGCCUAACACAUGCCAGUCGAACGGCAGCACAGUAAGAGCUUGCUCUUACGGGUGGCGAGUGGCGGACGGGUGAGGAAUACAUCGGAAUCUACUUUUUCGUGGGUGAUAACGUAGGGAAACUUACGCUAAUACCGCAUACGACCUACGGGUGAAAGCAGGGGAUCUUCGGACCUUGCGCGAUUGAAUGAGCCGAUGUCGGAUUAGCUAGUUGGCGGGGUAAAGGCCCACCAAGGCGACGAUCCGUAGCUGGUCUGAGAGGAUGAUCAGCCACACUGGAACUGAGACACGGUCCAGACUCCUACGGGAGGCAGCAGUGGGGAAUAUUGGACAAUGGGCGCAAGCCUGAUCCAGCCAUACCGCGUGGGUGAAGAAGGCCUUCGGGUUGUAAAGCCCUUUUGUUGGGAAAGAAAAGCAGCAGGUUAAUACCCCGCUGUUCUGACGGUACCCAAAGAAUAAGCACCGGCUAACUUCGUG